UACAGAGGUCUCAAGCGUUGUUCGGAUUCAUUGGGCGUAAAGGGUGCGUAGGCGGCGCGGUAAGUCGGGUGUGAAAUCUUGGAGCUUAACUCCGAAACUGCAUUCGAUACUGCCGUGCUUGAGGACUGGAGAGGAGACUGGAAUUUGACGGUGUAGCGGUGAAAUGCGUAGAUAUCGUAAGGAAGACCAGUGGCGAAGGCGGGUCUC
rnacentral:rRNA from 1 species